rnacentral:rRNA from 1 species
GAUGAACGCUGGCGGCGUGCCUAAUACAUGCAAGUCGAGCGAACAGAUGAGGAGCUUGCUCCUCUGACGUUAGCGGCGGACGGGUGAGUAACACGUUGAUAACCUACCUAUAAGACUUGGUUAACUUCGGGAAACCGGAGCUAAUACCGGAUAAUAUAUUUAACCGCAUGGUUCAAUAGUGAAAGACGGUUUUGCUGUCACUUAUAGAUGGAUCCGCGCCGCAUUAGCUAGUUGGUAAGGUAACGGCUUACCAAGGCAACGAUGCGUAGCCGACCUGAGAGGGUGAUCGGCCACACUGGAACUGAGACACGGUCCAGACUCCUACGGGAGGCAGCAGUAGGGAAUCUUCCGCAAUGGGCGAAAGCCUGACGGAGCAACGCCGCGUGAGUGAUGAAGGUCUUCGGAUCGUAAAACUCUGUUAUUAGGGAAGAACAAAUGUGUAAGUAACUAUGCACGUCUUGACGGUACCUAAUCAGAAAGCCACGGCUAACUACGUG